UAGGCAUGCAAGUCGAGCGCGAUACUUUUAAAAGAUACUUCGGUUGAUUUUUUAAGUGGAAAGCGGCGAAAGGGAGAGUAACGAGUAGAUACGUACCCAGGGGUUCGGGAUAGCUGCGGGAAACUGCAGGUAAUACCGAAUAAUGUCUCCGGACCAAAAAUUUAUUGCCCCCGGAUCGGUCUGCUUACUAUUAGCUUGUUGGUGGGGUAAAGGCUUACCAAGGCAAAGAUGGUUAGCGGGUGUGAGAGCAUGGCCCGUCUCACUGGGACUGAGACACUGCCCAGACACCUACGGGUGGCUGCAGUCGAGAAUCUUCCGCAAUGGACGAAAGUCUGACGGAGCGACGCCGCGUGCGGGAUGAAGGCCUUCGGGUUGUAAACCGCUGUCAGAGGGGAGCAAAUUUUGAGCUAUCCUCAAAGGAAGCAC
rnacentral:rRNA from 1 species